rnacentral:misc_RNA from 1 species
AAGUCGUAACAAGGUUUCCGUAGGUGAACCUGCGGAAGGAUCAUUAGCGAGUUUUGGGUGGGUUUUGGUUUUGGUUUUGGGUUUUGGUGAGGAUAUGAGAAUGAUCAGAGUGAUUGUUUGAUUCAUUCCAAACCAAACCAGACCAGACCAGACCAACAUCACACAAAGCAUUGUGCUUUGUUUUCACGCUUGUUUGUGUUUGUCAAAUAAUGAAUGGAAUGGAAACAUUGACAACUUUUAACAAUGGAUCUCUUGGCUCUU